AAAAGAAAAGGAUAAAGUUCCCGUUUUAUCAUUAUUGGAAUCGAUUGGAAUGGCUCUUAGCUGAAGCUUCUCUCUUCUCUGAAGCUUAGAAAACAUUAUUCUGAAGACUGAACAACAAGGGAAGAGGUAUAAAGCUUUGUCAAGCUUGUUAAGGAGCAAUGGCUACUAUCCAGCUAUCCCAACAUUGUUCCUCUUGGCUAUACUAACGGACGAGACUGGACAGUUUGAGGACUGGAGUAUGACCUGCUCGUUCGAGCGUUGCUGGGUAGCUCAGAGUCAUCAACGUUUCUCAAGCAAAGUUUAACUGAGUUACGAGUUGGAGCCUAGAAUCAGAGAAGUCCAGCAGCCUGCUAAAUCGUUUUGAAACGUAAUUUGAAGGCAUUCAAUCAUCUUGAAGUUGCCCUGGGUCACUGUAAUCGUGCUGCAGCACAACUGGCAACUCCCCAGGCCCUUGUGAAGCAGCUCCCUAUAGGCUAUGUGCAUCUUUUGUGUACUCACUCUGUGCAUUUUCUGUGUACAAAUUUCUAUUAUUGAUUUAUUAAAUAUUUUUGCCGACCACAAAUACAAUGAAAAUUUGACACAUGCGCAGACAACU